UACGUAGGGUGCGAGCGUUAAUCGGAAUUACUGGGCGUAAAGCGUGCGUAGGCGGUUCGCUAAGUCCGAUGUGAAAUCCCCGGGCUUAACCUGGGAACUGCAUUGGUGACUGGCGGGCUAGAGUGUGGCAGAGGGGGGUAGAAUUCCACGUGUAGCAGUGAAAUGCGUAGAGAUGUGGAGGAAUACCGAUGGCGAAGGCAGCCCCCUGGGCUAACACUGACGCUCAUGCACGAAAGCGUGGGGAGCAAACAGG
rnacentral:rRNA from 1 species